CUUCCUCGAUCUGCUGCGGGCAGAUGUAGUGGAUAUGCGCGUCCAUGCCGCCGGCGGUCAGGAUCUUGCCCUCACCGGCAAUCGCUUCCGUGGAGGGACCGACGAUGAUCGUCACGCCCGGCUGUGUGUCCGGAUUGCCGGCCUUGCCGAUCGCAUGGAUGCGGCCGUCCUUGAGGCCGACGUCGGCCUUGUAGAUGCCGGUGUGGUCGACGAUCAGGGCAUUGGUGAUGACCGUGUCCACGGCACCCUCGGCGCGGGUCGCCUGGCUCUGGCCCAUGCCGUCGCGGAUG
rfam:Rhizobium sp. R1-200B2 contig_9, whole genome shotgun sequence.